GAUGCUCUUAUUUCAUCUAAUGAUGUUUAAGACUGUAGGAUGCAUAAGGUGUAAAUUGUUUUAGGGCAACAAAAACAUGAGGUCUUUAUUAAGAUCAAAGACCUAGGCAACUACAAUCAAAGACUUUUGAUUUUCCUUUUCUUUCUUUCUUUCUUAUGCGCGUAAAACUUAAGGUCUUUAUCAUGAUCAAAGGCCUAGGCAACUACAAUCAAAUACUUUUUUUGCUUUUCCUUUCUUUCUUUUUUGUGCGUGUUCUUGUUCUUGUUCGUCUUCUGUUUAUGUUCUUCUUUUGUAUUGAUCGUAUUGAUCGAUUCCAAUAGGAAUGGUAUUUCCUUUUUUUUAUCUGGUAAAUAACUCAAAUACCACAACUAAUUUUUUUAUUAUGCCGCUAGACCAAACGGUACUUGGCAAUAGUAUUCACUUUUUUAU
rnacentral:lncRNA from 1 species